ensembl:lncRNA
AUGUGUGUUGUUUGGUCUGAGCAGAUAAAUGAGAUGCACAGGAAGAUUGCAGCUAUGGAUGAAAACCAAACCAAAAAGGAACAGCGACUUACUCAACAACAAAUACAGGCUACUAAAAAAUUAAACAUCACUGCAGAGAAUGUGCAGCUCCGGCAUGACAUAGAAUCCCUGGUAAUAGAAAAAGAAAAGUUCCUGCAGAGGAGCAGCAAAUUGGAGAAGGCAAUCCAGGAGGCCGAUCUGGAGCUUGGCAGAGAGCUCCAGAAGAUCAGCAAGAGCGAUCUCAUCAGGGAAGAAACUGAAGCACAGAGAGUACGAAAGUUAGAGAAAGCUUGCUCAGACGAGGACACUUGUGCUACAAAGAUACAGAAGCUACAGAGACAGACAGACCAUGGCGACAAAUUAGCGUACUUUCUACAACAGAAGAAUAACCCCAGGCAGCCAAACCUAAAGUACUGCUCUACAGCAGAGAAAAGAGGGGCACACCAGCAAGAGCUACAGCAAGAACAGCUGAAAGAAUAUGAGACUGAUAUGGAGAAGAUCAAUGAUAUUGUUCAAGGCAGGCAGAGAAGAAGCGAGAGAAAGGAGAGUGGUUCUGAAGAUUUUGACUCUUAUGGAGCCAUCUCCAAGUACAUCUUGGAAAUCAGGAGAGGACUUGAACUUCAGCCUCGACAACUAUAUUUCAGAACAGUACAGACACAUAGGACAGAUUACCAGAGAUGUGCAGAAGCUAAGGAUGAGGAUGGAGAAGGAGCAGGAGAGACAUAGUGCAGAGCAUCAUCAUCUACAGGACAGACUGGAACAACUGCAACUUGGCUGCCAGCAAGCCACCCAGGCUGCUGAAACAAUCGAGAAAGCACAGGAAGAAAAAGAUAGCUUCCUGAGUCUGGUUAAAAGUAAUACAGUGUUAUGCAAUCACGUUUCCCAAGGAACUGUAGACAGAGUGAGAGAGACUGUUAAAAAGAAAAAUGAGGAGGACAGGAGACAGACAGGACAGGAGAUGAAGAAUACACCUCCAUAUCCAUUAACUGAUGAUCUAAUUUGUAAAAUUAUUAUGGUCCUGACUGUAUUUAAAAUAAUAAAUGUUGAAUCAAUAAUCUUACAGUACUCAGAGUACAAGGUCCAGCUGUGGUUAUUUAAAAUAGUGUCAACCAGUCUCACCAGGCUGUCAGAUGAUGCAGUGCAUCAAAUUUGUAAGUGUUCUCUGUGCUCCAAAGCCUCGUUAGCCCUAUUAUAUUGUGUUCAUUUUACAAAUGAACUCACUACAUCUGUCUUUGUAGCUCAGUAACAUAGUACAUCUAGAUAUUGGACCUACUGUUGAAGAUAAUGAGAGUAAGGCUAUGCUUGUUUACUGCUUUCUCCGCCUACGUUUUUUCCCUUCAUCCUUACAGAGUGUUGAGUGCCUGAGUGGGUUCUUAUAAGGUAUUGGAGCUUGUACUAAUGCCCUUGCCUCAAACACUGUUUCAGUUUUCAGUAGAGCCACGGCCCCUAAGGCUAGCAGUUCUAUCUUCUUCAUCCUCCAGAGGAACCCAGCUAGGCCCCAUGCUCUCAAAUGGAAAUUAAACCUACUUUAUCUUGCUCUUGGCCUCGUUGCCAUUUCAAUUUAGCUUUUGUUAAAAAACAUUUUACCAUUCUGAUAUCCUGAUAUAUUAGAAAAUGUAGUCCUGAAAAUGUUUAAAAAACAGCUAUGGUUGGUUACUAGAGACUUUUUAAAGCAUAAUAAUAAUCUCUGAAAAUAUCAUAGUAUCACGAUAUUUCAUAAUUACCCUAAAGCAUUACCAGAAUAAUAAUAAGCAGAAUUAUAAAUUGGAUGGAUCACAGACUAGCACACAUGAAGAGUCUUGCUGUUUUAUAUGAGAUGUUUUAUAGGUAUUAUUCUGAAACCAUGUUAUGAAGUCUAGAAUAGCAGGUUAGCCACAAUGAUAACUGCUGGGCUUAGUCAGCUUUAGCAUUGUUAGCUGCUAUGCUAACAGCCAACUCAGCAGGCUUGGAAAAUAUUAUUUGCGAGGGUAACUGUUUUUAGGAGCUGGAUUGCUAACUGAUAGUUGUUGACAAUGUCAAUAAACCUUGCAGGGGGUAUCCUAGGUUCUCCCA